rnacentral:rRNA from 1 species
GACGAACGCUGGCGGCGUGCUUAACACAUGCAAGUCGAACGGAAAGGCCCUGCUUUUGUGGGGUGCUCGAGUGGCGAACGGGUGAGUAACACGUGAGUAACCUGCCCUUGACCUUGGGAUAACUUCAGGAAACUGGGGCUAAUACCGGAUAGGAGCUCCUGCUGCAUGGUGGGGGUUGGAAAGUUUCGGCGGUUGGGGAUGGACUCGCGGCUUAUCAGCUUGUUGGUGGGGUAGUGGCUUACCAAGGCUUUGACGGGUAGCCGGCCUGAGAGGGUGACCGGCCACAUUGGGACUGAGAUACGGCCCAGACUCCUACGGGAGGCAGCAGUGGGGAAUAUUGCACAAUGGGCGGAAGCCUGAUGCAGCAACGCCGCGUGCGGGAUGACGGCCUUCGGGUUGUAAACCGCCUUCGCCUGUGACGAAGCGUGAGUGACGGUAAUGGGUAAAGAAGCACCGGCUAACUACGUG